rnacentral:rRNA from 1 species
UCAUCUCCGGGGGUAGAGCACUGUUUCGGCAAGGGGGUCAUCCCGACUUACCAACCCGAUGCAAACUGCGAAUACCGGAGAAUGUUAUCACGGGAGACACACGGCGGGUGCUAACGUCCGUCGUGAAGAGGGAAACAACCCAGACCGCCAGCUAAGGUCCCAAAGUCAUGGUUAAGUGGGAAACGAUGUGGGAAGGCCCAGACAGCCAGGAUGUUGGCUUAGAAGCAGCCAUCAUUUAAAGAAAGCGUAAUAGCUCACUGGUCGAGUCGGCCUGCGCGGAAGAUGUAACGGGGCUAAACCAUGCACCGAAGCUGCGGCAGCGACACUAUGUGUUGUUGGGUAGGGGAGCGUUCUGUAAGCCUGUGAAGGUGUGCUGUGAGGCAUGCUGGAGGUAUCAGAAGUGCGAAUGCUGACAUAAGUAACGAUAAAGCGGGUGAAAAGCCCGCUCGCCGGAAGACCAAGGGUUCCUGUCCAACGUUAAUCGGGGCAGGGUGAGUCGACCCCUAAGGCGAGGCCGAAAGGCGUAGUCGAUGGGAAACAGGUUAAUAUUCCUGUACUUGGUGUUACUGCGAAGGGGGGACGGAGAAGGCUAUGUUGGCCGGGCGACGGUUGUCCCGGUUUAAGCGUGUAGGCUGGUUUUCCAGGCAAAUCCGGAAAAUCAAGGCUGAGGCGUGAUGACGAGGCACUACGGUGCUGAAGCAACAAAUGCCCUGCUUCCAGGAAAAGCCUCUAAGCAUCAGGUAACAUCAAAUCGUACCCCAAACCGACACAGGUGGUCAGGUAGAGAAUACCAAGGCGCUUGAGAGAACUCGGGUGAAGGAACUAGGCAAAAUGGUGCCGUAACUUCGGGAGAAGGCACGCUGAUAUGUAGGUGAAGUCCCUCGCGGAUGGAGCUGAAAUCAGUCGAAGAUACCAGCUGGCUGCAACUGUUUAUUAAAAACACAGCACUGUGCAAACACGAAAGUGGACGUAUACGGUGUGACGCCUGCCCGGUGCCGGAAGGUUAAUUGAUGGGGU